rnacentral:rRNA from 1 species
GUAGGUGGCAAACGUUGUCCGGAAUUAUUGGGCGUAAAGCGCGCGCAGGCGGUCCUUUAAGUCUGAUGUGAAAGCCCACGGCUCAACCGUGGAGGGUCAUUGGAAACUGGGGGACUUGAGUACAGAAGAGGAAAGCGGAAUUCCAAGUGUAGCGGUGAAAUGCGUAGAGAUUUGGAGGAACACCAGUGGCGAAGGCGGCUUUCUGGUCUGUAACUGACGCUGAGGCGCGAAAGCGUGGGGAGCAAACAGGAUUAGAUACCCUGGUAGUCCACGCCGUAAACGAUGAGUGCUAAGUGUUAGGGGGUUUCCCGCCCCCCUUAGUGCUGCAGCUAACGCAUUAAGCACUCCGCCUGGGGAGUACGGCCGCAAGGCUG